AGGUUUGUAUUUCCUUUGUAACUUUAUAGGAAAUUUGUUAGCCAUAUUUAAGUUAGUACAUUUUGGUAUCGUAUGUACGCUUCGCUUUAGUUCAAUGUUAGAGUAAAUGUAUAAUAGAGUAAUAUUAAUAUUCAUCCGCAGCGGGUAAGUGCGCGAGCUCAUACGGCCGUUACUCAAGCGGAAGGCUGCAGCCUCUGGAGGUCGCGUGUCUUAUUUCAGAAUAUUAACAAGUAUAAAGUUGACUAUUAUUCUUAGUUAAUCGUAAAUUGUUGUAAUAUGCUUAUGACUUGCGAAUGUAAUGCUCAGUUAACUUAAUAAACCAGGCUUGAUGACGUAUACAGCCUGCCUAUGCGACCUCCGGAGGAUGCAGCCUUCCGUUUGAGAAACGGCCUACAUGUGUACCGAGGGCGAGCGUGCACGAAAUUCUGUCUGAAUUGAUUCUUCAAUAAUGGCAAAGCAAACAUUUUCUGUCGUGAUGAUUAAACACAUUUUAACGUUUAAAUUAAAACUCCUACCUUUCCAGGGGUUUCUGUUCCUGCAGUCUUCCAGCGACACUUCAGUUGUACUGUGUGUGUACUUGCUUGCCGCGUAUGACGAUACGGACACGAACAAUAUACCGCCACCUACUGUACUGUAGUAAAAUGACAUGUAUGAUUGAAUACUGUGGCACAGGCAGUAAAAAUAGCCCUUUUUCUCAGCCUUUAAACAUCUGAUAAAUGUGUACUACAAAAAGGUAAGUUCAGCACCAGAUCCGCUUAUGUUAUACUGUAAUGACCUCUGUGUAUGACAUGUGCUAUACAAAUAAACUUGCCUUGCCUUGUAAGAUUGAUACUGGUUUGAGAAAAACUAAGAUUUAAACAACCAAAUGUUUCCAGUGCAACAUGAAAAAAACAUUGGAAAACAAUUUUCAGCCUAAGGUUAGAUAAUGUAGCCAAUGGUCUUCUAUUAAUUUUGGUACAAUGGUACAUUUCCUUUGUGUACUGCAAGCUGAACUUACCGAUUUAUAUGGACUUUACUUACAGGUUUUCUGUGCUAUGUUGCUCAUUUCAUGGAGCAAAAUAAGUCUGAGGUAGCACCAUCCUUGUGGUUUGAGUGGAACAAUGGGGGUAUUGAGACCAAAUGAACAAUGUGCCACUCUAGACAGCUGUGGACAAAAUAUGCAGUCAGAGUAUUUUCUCAAACAGAAAGAGAAUUCCAGGCCAAAAGGACUCAACAGAGACAACAUUGUCAGUACACAAAACAAAAAGUUGGAAUGAUUAAGAAAAAUGCAUGUUUCUAUACAUAUUUUCUUUAAAUCCAAUUUUUUUCACCGGUCAGCAGGACAGUAAAUUAUCUGAAGGUGAAAUCAUUAUUAAAGGUGAUAUCAUUGUCAUUGGCUUUGAUUGUUACAUAUGAUUUUAAACAGUGGGAAUCAUUGUGUAUUUUUAAUCAUUAUGUGAAUUAAUCAUUAUUGACAGCAAUUGCACAAGUGUAAGUAAAAACUUUAAAAAAGAUCCAACUGUUGAAUAUUUGAUUGUUAAAUGCUAAACGUUAAACUAAAGUGUACAUGGUCCAUGUUAAUGUUUUUAGUAUUUUUUUUUUCAGCUGAGGAGCCAGGUAAAACUUAAAGGUCACAAUAUGAUUUACUAUCAUUUUAUUAUUUCAUUCUGAUUUUUCUCCUGUUUUUUUUCUGAGUUAGAUGAGGAGCAACCAGUACAUCAAAGCAAAAAGAUGCUAUGAUAUUGUCUGAGGCACCUUAUUUUCCAUGUCCUUCACAAUCACAACUGCAGCACACCAGUCAAUUUCUGCCAUUCGGAAGAAUCAGAAAGAAAUCUUGGAUUGGAGAAUCAUUCUGAAAGUAGACCAAAUUCAGGACAACAUCACAGCAGUGGUCGGACUCGGAAAAACAUCAGUCAAUGAGCAAGCCAAGCUAACUUUCAAAAGAUGAUUUGUUAUCUGUCUUCAGAGGGACGGCAGCUUGGAGGAUGCUACAGCUACACAGGGAGAAUUUCAGCAGCUCAGUUUCAUACUUGCAACUAAUAAUGAAUAAUAGUUAAAAGACAGCGGAAAGAAUUGACAUCGCAGAGACACACCAAGAAACACGCACACACACGCAGCUGAAGCGAGUUUGACUGACGUGCAUGGGAGAUCGGGCACCGUGCACGCACACACAAACAUGAAGCACAGCAUAAUUACAACUGUUGGAUUAAAAUAAAAGUACUUUGUGGUAUACAAUG